UGCCUGCUUUGUCAGUGGCCUCUCUGCCUCUCACUGUUCCUCUGGCUGGUUCACAGUAGAGAAGAAACUGCCAAGAGGAGAAGCAGGAGGAAGCUGAUCACAUUGGGAAAGAGCUAGCUUGCCCUACAGUCAGCCUGCACCAGAUCCAGGAUUGUGGAUCCAGAAGCCUGACCUGCUUGUAUCUGAACCCACAAGUUCCAAGCUUUAAAGACUGUCAGCACCCAGAGAGGACCUGCUGGCCUGCACCAGUCUCUUGACCACUCAGCCAGAAGAGGAACAUGAUUUCACAGGCCCACCUACCCUUCCUGAUUCUGAUGUCCAAGUAGUAGUGGAAGCAAUGAAACACUGGAGAAACUUUUAUGUCCUGAGAUUUCCAUCCCAAUAUUGUAGACAUGCGAGGUUGUGAGUAAUUUCUG